rnacentral:rRNA from 1 species
AUACGUAGGGGGCAAGCGUUGUCCGGAUUUAUCGGGCGUAAAGGGUGCGUAGGCGGCCUUUUAAGUCAGAUGUGAAAGGUCACGGCUCAACCGUGGUAAGCAUUUGAAACUGAAAGGCUUGAGUUAAGGAGAGGAAAGUGGAAUUCCUAGUGUAGCGGUGAAAUGCGUAGAUAUUAGGAGGAAUACCAGUGGCGAAGGCGACUUUCUGGACUUAUACUGACGCUGAGGCACGAAAGCGUGGGGAGCGAACAGGAUUAGAUACCCUGGUAGUCCACGCCGUAAACGAUGAGUGCUAGGUGUUGGGGGUCAAGCCUCGGUGCCGCAGCUAACGCAUUAAGCACUCCGCCUGGGGAGUACGUACGCAAGUAUGAA